CCCAGUCGCCUCUCUCCUCGCAACUCGCAAGAUCUCCCUCCCCCCUUCCCUUUCCUUCCUUCAUUCACAUCUUUGCUCAUUACCAUUCCUUCCAGCCUUAAAGUCUGUUAACCUUUAACCGCCUCCUUUUUCCCUCCUCCCUGCGCCCUUCCCUUACUUUCCAUUGCUUCAAUACACAAUUAAUACAACUCACCGCCCACACCACUCCAACCGCCUCUGCAGCGAUGGUAGAUUUGUCUAUAAAAAGAUUGCAAGUUCGGGUAUAAUUAGGGAUUUCUUUUUUCUAAAGUAGGUAUGAGGAUUAACUAGGGGUGGAGUGGAUGUGAAGUUGAAGAUGAUCCAAUCUGCUGCUCUGGAUUCGAUGUGGAAAGCCGAUGUCGUCCCCAGCGCCUGGCAUUUUCUGUUGGCGGUAUAUUUCGCAGUCGGUUUUGCCGUCGCCAGGUUUUUGUUUGAUAAGCACCUCUUUCAGGAAGUGGGAGAGGAGAUUACUGUGCAGAGGGUAGCAACAUGGUUAUUGAGCAAUGGAUCUAUUCCACUGAAAAUUAACAAGGCUAGAAGGAUGAAGAUUGCAAAAUGUUCUGAGUCUUUGUGGAAGCUAACAUAUUAUGCCACUGUUGAAUUGUCUGUCCUAUUGGUCAUCUAUGGUGAGCCGUGGUUCACAGAUAUACAGGAGUACUUCAGAGGGUGGCCAAACCAACACCUCAAGCCCUCUAUAAAGCUCAUCUACAUGUGUCAAUGUGGCUUCUACAUCUACAGCAUUUCUGCUCUACUUACUUGGGAAACACGCAGGAAAGAUUUUGCGGUGAUGAUGUCCCAUCAUGUUGUCACUGUUAUCUUGAUUAGCUAUUCAUAUAUUACAAGGUUUUUCCGAAUUGGCUCUAUUAUUCUUGCUUUGCAUGAUGCAAGCGAUGUCUUCAUGGAAGCUGCUAAAGUUUUUAAAUAUUCUGAGAAGGAAUUUGGAGCUAGUGUAUGCUUUGGGUUAUUUGCUCUCUCAUGGCUUGUACUGAGGCUUAUAUACUUUCCAUUUUGGGUCAUAAGAUCUUCAAGGUUUGCUUCUCAAACAGCUAUUACAUACUUUUGUGCCUCAAUUUAUCAGACACUUAUCAUGCCUCCUUGUACUAUGUGUUCAACACAAUGCUAUUGACGCUGCUUGUUUUCCACAUUUACUGGUGGUUUCUCAUAUGUGCAAUGAUCAUGAGACAGCUAAAAAACAGGGGAAAAGUUGGAGAAGAUAUACGUUCUGACUCAGAGGAUGAUGACUAACUGGAAGAAUUUGCUCAAAUUUGCUGUAUGAAGAAUCCGUUUUGAGCAGACUGCCAUAUGAGCAUAGGGCUGCAUCUGGUUGGUAGAAUCAUCUGUUUCCUUGCUCUAAAUCCACUGACUGUUGGUUCUCCAGCUUGCAGGGACUCGAGUGUACUCUUUCUUGUGAUUAAAGAAAGAACAGCAAAGAAAGAUGUAGUGCCGCGCGGUUUAGAUUCAGAACCGCAUUUUUGGUUGUAUAAAAGCAUAGAUAGCAGGAUCUUCCCCGGUUGUACGUUUUUUCUUUCCACAGUUAGUGUUGAAAAUGACUGAGCAACGGUUUACCUCCUCCUCGCCUAUCAUUAGCGUUUUGUGCUAAGUUUGAAGCUCUUGUGCAUUUUCCUUUCCCUUAUGAACCAAGUCAUUAGCUCUCCUAAAUUUUUGAUGUUAUCGAUGGAAUUUUUACCACGUUAAGUACGCCAUUGACGGCACCGAUAA